rnacentral:rRNA from 1 species
CCAAUAGCGUAUAUUAAAGUUGUUGCAGUUAAAAAGCUCGUAGUUGAAUUUCGGGAUCAGUACGCUGGUCAUGCCUUUGGUAUGCACUGGUGUCACUGGUUUCUCCCUUCUGAAGAUCCGUGAUGUCAUUAAUUUGGUGUCGCGGGGAAUCAGGACUGUUACUUUGAAAAAAUUAGAGUGUUUAAAGCAGGCUCACGCUUGAAUACAUUAGCAUGGAAUAAUGAAAUAGGACGUUUGACCCUAUUUUGUUGGUUUCUAGGAUCGACGUAAUGAUUAAUAGGGAUAGUUGGGGGCAUUAGUAUUCAAUUGUAAGAGGUGAAAUUCUUGGAUUUAUUGAAGACGAACUACUGCGAAAGCAUUUGCCAAGGAUGUUUUCAUUAAUCAAGAACGAAAGUUAGGGGAUCGAAGACGAUCAAAUACCGUCGUAGUCUUAACCAUAAACUAUGCCGACUAGGGAUCGGAUGAUGUUAAUUUUAUAAUGACUCAUUCGGCGCCUUACG